rnacentral:rRNA from 1 species
AAUGAACGCUAGCGGCAGGCCUAACACAUGCAAGUCGAACGGAUCCUUCGGGAUUAGUGGCGGACGGGUGAGUAACGCGUGGGAACAUACCCUUUGGUACGGAAUAGCCUCGGGAAACUGGGAGUAAUACCGUAUGUGGUCGAGAGACGAAAGAUUUAUCGCCAAAGGAUUGGCCCGCGUUGGAUUAGGUAGUUGGUGGGGUAAUGGCCUACCAAGCCGACGAUCCAUAGCUGGUUUGAGAGGAUGAUCAGCCACACUGGGACUGAGACACGGCCCAGACUCGUACGGGAGGCAGCAGUGGGGAAUCUUAGACAAUGGGGGAAACCCUGAUCUAGCCAUGCCGCGUGAUCGAUGAAGGCCUUAGGGUUGUAAAGACCUUUCAGGUGGGAAGAUAAUGACUGUACCACCAGAAGAAGCCCCGGCUAACUCCGUGCCAGCCGCCGCCGUAA